rnacentral:lncRNA from 1 species
ACCUAACCGACGAAGCAGACGGUGAUGAACCGUAUAGACUGACACGUGUCGGAGAGGUAGAGGCUCUGAAAAAGGAAGUAGAACGAGAAGUGAAGCUUGAGGUUGAAGAAGCAAAAGCGGUGGAAGAAGAAGAAGAAUAGUGAGAAGGUGAAUCUUGUGAAUUGCAGAAUCUAGGUGAAGGUGAAAGGGAUCUAAGUACAGUGUUAGUUCUUGAUUUUCUAGAAGCUGCCGCCAUUUUUAUUUUUUUUUCUUUGAAGAAGAAAAGAAAAAAAAGAAUGUUUUUCUAUUUUUCUUUCCCUAUAGGCUGGGUUUGAGUUUCUAGUUUGGCAAACCUAGCUUUACUCGAGCUAUGUAUAUAUAGGAUUUUUGAAUGUGUGUGUGGGUGCCAAGUGUGGGGUAUGACUCUUGCGAUAUUUUCUGCUUGGUGCAUUUACUUUGUGGAAUUAUAGUGCUGGCCCUUGUGUGGUUCUUCUUUUUAUUUGCUAGUUGUGGCUUUGGUGUUUUUUGUUAUGUAAUUUAACGCGCCUUAUUAAUUAAUUAAUUGGUUAAUCAAAUUUUGUAGGUUACAUUAGAUUUUGAGGAGUCUUGUAGAUAUACAUUUGAUGUAUUAAUGGAGUUAAUAAUUCUUCAUUUUUACAUUUAUGAUUAAAUUUUCGUCAUAAAUUUAUCUCAUAAAAAAACUACUUCAUUCAUCUCAAAUUAAUUUUCGUUUUAAGAUUAUGUGUGGUGCUUAAAAGAAUAAUUAGUUGGAUUGAUUUCCAUUCAAAUUAUUUUUAUUUACUAAAAUCCAUUUAUUAGUUAUAGUUACCAAUGAACUAGUUAAGUAUAGUGAACUUUAACAAAUAAGAGUGUAUUAAUGGUUAGUAUUUCAUUAAUAUUCUAAAGUGAUAAUCAUUUUGAGACAAAAAACAAUGUAAAAAUGUUAAUUAUUAUGAGACGGAUGGAGUAGAAUCUAACUCUGAAGAUGCGAUCAUAUCAAUAAUAAUAUAACGUUUUCCAUCAAAACUCCACAAGAUAAUGUGUUUGACGUGUAACUAAAUUUCAUAUUAAUAGUAGCAUUUUCCUUAAAAAAAGGCGAAGACAAAGCUCCUUGCAAAAAAGGCAAAGACAAAAAAAGGAAGAAUGGUUAUUUUUAUAAGAAAUAGUCUAUUUUUUAUAUUUAUUGAAUAACUAAUAUAUGUAAUUUAUGAAAUUAAUAUGUUUAAAAAAAUUAUGAUAUAAUUAUAUACAUUAAUUAUUAAAUAAAUCUAAAAAUAUAUUGUUUUUCGUAAAAAAGACCAAAAGUAUUAUUUUAUAACUUGUUCAUAAAAAAGUAUUACAUACAUAAUUUUUUCUAGUAAUCUUGUUAGUUACAAUUUGCUGUUGAAAAUGGCUAGAGCAGUUAAAAAAAAAAUGCUUUGAAAGCUGAAUGUACAUACAUUUGAAGCUAAAGUUCAAUGGUUUUUUGUACAUACAUUUGAAGCUAAAGUUCGAUGUUUUUUCUAACAGAGUUCAAUGUUUUGUUAAAAAACUGGAAAGGGGUGAAGAACUUCAGUCUAGAUUAUAUGGUAACAAUUACCUUAUGUUUCAAUUAAAUAUCUAUAUUAAAAUUAUUAUCAUCCUUUUUUUUUAAAGAAAGUCAAUAUCAUCCUAGUAAGAAUGGGCUGAUUAGGAAUCAAGUAGGAGUUAAUAAAAAAUAUCUCAAUUGGAAUUAACUGUAUAGAAUUUGUAAUAAUUAAAUGAAAAAGAAAAAGAAAGGAGAUGCAAGUUGUUGAUUACUGUAUUUAAAAGAUAAGAAUGGGUUGAUUGUGAAAUAACAAUUUUUUUCAGAACAGAAACUAAUUAUUCGGAAUUUUGUAAUAAUGAAAAAGAUAAAGAAAAGAAAUGCAAGUUUUAUUAUGAAGGAAAAAGAAAUGCAAGUUGUUGAGUACUGUAUUUAAAAGAUAAGACUGGGACCAGUCAGAUAAAAAAAGACAGGACUAGAAACAAAUAUAAAAUGUCAUAAAGGUAGGGACGCAAAAGCAAAUAUGAAAUUCUGGUAUAUAGAUUGCAAAAGUAUUGGGUGGGCACAACAGAAAUAGAGUCUUUAACCAAAGAUAAAAUAAGGUUGGGUUAGUUAGUUAACCUGAAAGGAGGACGUUGAGCCCUCUGAAUUGUGAUCCAACGGCUUUCAGUUCCACAAAGCUGUGUGCUGCCCAUAAUAUUAGAAAACGACAAAAUCAGAUACAACCGUUUUAAAUCCAUUGAACUUUGUUUACAGAUUUCCUCAUUUUCCUCUAUCUGCUAGACUGCCACCUAUUAUUAGUACAAACAUUACUUAAGGAGUAGUUAAUUAAUUAUUUUCUGAAACUUAAUAGCUAAUCUACUGUCACUUUUACAUGACCAAAUUAACCUUAAUUCCUCCCUAAAAUUUCUUGUAUAUUUCCAUAAAGUUAUAUCAAGAUUAUUGUUGGAUAUGUCUAUAAAGCGUAGUUGAAUUUAUAAUAUAUCGAUGGUGUUAGAUUGAACACAACAUUUUUAUUUGUUUUAAAUUGAGACUUCGUUAUUUUGUGUUUGAGUUUUAAAUGAUAUUUAUUAUAUCGUAUACAAAAAAAAUAUUGUGGGAUAUAUAAAUUACUUCCAUCAUCUCUUAUUAUAUAUGAUCUCUCAACAAAGUUCACGAGUAUUAAAAAAUUAUUUUUUGACAAGAGUAUUAAAAAAUUAUAUUACUGAAUUUGUUAAAAAUGUCUUUUAUUUUACAUAGCCAUCCAUAUAAUUAUUGAUAUUUGAUAUCAUAAGAGAGAAUGAUAAUUUAUGUUUUUUUAAAUAUGAAUAUUUUUUUAUCUACAAGUCCUAAUUUGAACUUUAACUUAUCCACUUAUGUUCGUGAUUUUUUGAUUGCUAUUGUCGUUUUUGUAUACCCAAAAAAAGGAUGUGUUUGUCAAGAAGAUGAAUUUGAUUGGUUGAAGGUUUGGAAUACACAAUAUAUAAGCUCUUAUAUUCGAGACCCAUAACCAACUAGAUUCUUUUCAACCUUAGAUCCUCCCUAUUUAUUAACGCAUCAACGACUAGUAAUGUUCGUUGGAACCAGAACAUUGAUGAGCGUUGUCCGUAAUGGACUCUUCAUCACUCUCCAACGGCUCCAUUUCCUAACCUAUAAAAAUCACCUUUCACUACGAUUCAAGGUACACACUUUUCUCUCUCGAUACCUCUAAGUUUUUGCUCUCAUAUUGACUUGAACAUCAAAAUAUUUGCAAAUAUCAUCCUUCAACAUCCAUCUCGACGAAAGUUGUUCAAUCUUGACCAAUUCAUCUCAAUUGUGUAAGAUCAUAAAUUAUUAAUACAUGUGGAAUUUUGAAAAUGAUUUUGUUAAUUUCAUUUUUUCCCAAAGCUCUUCAUUCUUUUCUUUUGUUAAUUCCUUUUUUUUUUCCAAAGCCUCAUCUAACUUCUCAUUCAAACUCACAAACAAAUCCUAAAACAAUUUAAAUGAUGGAAUAUGAAAUUAAGACAUGCUAAAAUUAUAUAUUAUGUAUCUUUAUUAAAUGAUGUACUUUUUAAGAAAAAAUAGAGUGCAAAAAACAUCACAUGAUAGCAAUGUCAUUUCAUAACACCUUUAAAAAAUACAAUGUCAUUUUAAAUAUAUUGGCACCCAAAACUACCACAUAUAAUUUGCAACGACCUAAUAAAUACAUUAAACAUAUGAAUUUACAACGACCUAAUGAAAAUAGAAAGUAGACAAAUACAUCUUAAGGGAACUAGACCAAAACAAAGGAAAUAAACAUAUGAAUUUACAACAAACAACCGUCUCAUUAAAAAUCUUUACCUAAAAAAUUAAGUGGGAUAAAAUUGGAAGCAUCUCAACAUGAGGAGUGGAGAGAAUCUUCAACUAAUUGUGGAGGGAGGAACCCAUCAUAAAAUCAACACUUUAAUCACCCUCGAAAUAUCUCACUUUUGUUUGAGUAAGCGUCAAAAUUAAAGCAUUGGUUAUAUUGGUUUCUAUAGAUUUAUUGACUUAAUGAAGCAAUGAGAAAACACAUGAUGAUUUACACGUGAUUAAUUUGGCACCAUAAUCCUACGUCGAUUAUGAAGAUGCUUUAGAACGUAAUAUUCACUUUCACAAAUAAAAUCAAUUACAUAUUAAUAUUAGGAAGACAUUCAAAUUAUGUAUACUCUACAAACUGAAGUUCACCCGUUCAAGGGUAAUUAACAAUUGAGUCUCACACUACUAUUCUUAUCUUGCUAUUGGAUUGAGAUACGAUGUAACUUUACAAUACUAUUCUUUCCUUUCAAAUUAUUUCAAUUUUACACAUAAAUAAAAGUGUGCACUAAAUUUUUAAGUCAUUAUAUUUCACUAUUAAUUUAUGACAAUUGUUGGUAACCAAUAUAUAUGUUGAGUCACGAAGGAAGUUCGGGGGACCGUCCACAUUGAGGUUAGAAAAACCACAUUUGUGAGAGAGACACCACACUCAUACCUAAAACCUUAAGGUAAUGGAUUUAUAAGUCCUUUUACUUAUAAUGUGUUCAACCUUUACUCUUUUAUCCGAGGUGGAAUAUAUAUAUAAUGGAGACUUAUUAUUAGCAAAAAUAAAAUAAAAUGAUGAUGACAAUUUUGUAAACUUGUUAUACAUCUUCAUUAUUAUUUUUGUUUAAUCUAUAUGAAACAUCCUUUUAAAACGAAGGUAUUACCAUUCAUAAAAAGGGAGAGUAGCUUACAUUUGUGAAUGUUAUGUAGUUGGUAUUAAUUAUCUAGGAUUUUCAUGAAACUUCACCUUAUGAAAUAUCUUCAAAAUUCUAGUAAUCGAUUUCCCAACACAAAAUAUUAGGCCCCACGACACGAUUGGCAAAGGCAAACCUCCUCCACUAUGAAAGGGUUUGAUAAAUUAAGUCGACACACAUGGGUUGUGGGUAGCUCUUAUUUAAUGAAAAGCAUAUUGGAGUCGGUCAAGGAAAAGAAAGGACCAAAAUAAUCAAACCUUACCUUAGCUGCAUGAUAUGAUACGAUACCGAAAGUGUUGUGCUCUCCAUUCAUUUUCUUUUGGAAGAUUCUCAAUGAAAGAAAAAAGGAACUACAAAACAAGAACGACACGUAGUGUCCACGGAAGUGUGAUUGUUGUGAAAUUGAGAAAUUGGUAGCUACUAUUGACUAUUAAGCCAAAUAUUAUUCCUUUGGAUUGCUAUAGGCCUUUGCCGGUCACUAAUGACCCAAUUAUUUAAUUAAAGUACUUUUUAAACUCAAUUAAUUAAAGUACUUAGACUUAUACGAUAGUGUGACAUGAAUAUAUGUCCUUUUUAUUUAGACCAUGUUGUGUUCAAAUUAACUCCAAAUAUACAAAGGAGCAGCCUUUGUACUCCAUGUUAGCAAAUCCUUAUAAAUUUGUACUAGCCUUCAAACCUAAAAACGUGUUUUACAUGGUUAAUAUUUGGGGAUUAUGUUAGAAAGGAUCUCUAUAUAAUAUUUUCAAUCAUCAAUAUGGAAUAUUAAAUUUUAAAAGUAACAUUGAUCAAUAUAGCGUGACAUAAGUUAUAAAUAUUUGAACCUUUAACUAUUUGGUCAAGAGUUUGAUUUCUAAUUAGUAUGUAUGAAAAACAUUUGUCCCAAGAGGUCAAACCUUAAACAAUCUUUUGGUGUAAAAAGAAGUAGCAUGGAGUACAAGGCUGCCCCUUUGUAUCUUUGGAAUUCAUUCGUGAACACAACAUGGUAUAAAUAAAAUGGCAUCUAUACUUUAUCUUUUUUAGGGGAAAAUGAAAUAUAUUCAUGUCACACUAUCGUGUGUAAACUAAAAAAUAUAUCUUCAGUAAGUGUGUAUAUAUAUAUAUAUCAUAUCAUAUCAUACUUUCAUGUCAUCCUUAUUGGUUCACUCAAUUUUUUGACUAAUUUAAUAAAUGAAAUUGAUUUCUUAUUAGGAUAUACAUAAGUGCUUGAGUUUUAGAUAGAACCACGAGCAAUUGGAUAGUAGAAUCUCAAAUAAAACAAAAAUGAAUGUUGAUCCUAAUCAAUCUAGCUUGAAGUAGCGUGAAGUCAACGAUUAGCUGAAUAACCAGUUAUUAUGUUGACAUAUACGGCACGCAUUGUUGCAUAGUGGUGUGCGUCUUCGAAUUCUUCUUGUUCUAAUCUCUUAUAUGAGGUUUUGUUUAAGAAUUUAGAGAAGAAUUAUUAAGAAUAAACAAAAAAUUCUAGUAAGUCUUCUUAUUUUCUCUCUUUCAAAUUCACACUUUUGAUUGAGAUGUCUCAAUUAAACUCAGAUAGCCGUUGCUUGAAAGGUGUACACAAAAAAUUGGAGUUUGUGAUGCCGUCCAUGCAGAAGUAAGUGGAAUGUAUUAGAAUGCAAAUUGCGAGAAAAUAAGAGAGUUUACCUAAUUGAUAUUGUAACAUGAAGUUGUAAGCUUAACAUAAACACUGCUGCCUUGGUUCUUUGAUUCCAUGAUCUUUCCAACUUACGGUUAAGCACAUCUGAUGGGAAAGAAAUAAAUCACUGAUUGAUUAACUUAUUUUACUCGAUAUAAUCGAGGCUUUCAUGAUUAAAAAUAUUAGUGUAGUCCUAGAUUUUUUUCGUUUUUUAGACUUGCCCAAAAUUAAUUAUUUUGGUCUUAAUUUAUUGGUAGGAAAGGUAAUUACUUUUUUUUAUUAACGAACUAAUCCGCUAGCUUGUCUUAAAAGUGUAUGAAUUUGUCUUUUCUAGUUUUGAAUAGUGUCCUCCUAGGCGAUUUAAUAUUUGUUCGUAAGAUGAACAAUAUGAUAGAUAGAGUUAGUUGAUAUCUAUCAAAGACUUUCUUGAUAGGGGUGGGAGGUUGAACUCCAAAUUUCUUAAUUUUUUAUAUUUAAAUUGUGUCAAUUUAACCACUAGACUAUUUAGAAGAAAAAAAAAAAACAUUUUUUAUGUGAUAUUUUGGUAUAUGCGUCCUUAUACCUGAAUUAAGUUGACUAUAAACAUAAGGGAAAUGAUAUUUGUACAACCAUUGUUUAGACAACAUUUAAGACAAUAUUUUCUCUCUCUUCUUUUAGGAUAUAAGCAAUAGAAAAAGAGAAAGAGGAAGAGAAGGAGAGUAAUAACGCAAUAUAAAUAUGAGAGAUGUCACAAAAUAAUUGUAUAAAAAUUACUCCUAUUUCUCUAAACAUAACUAAUGAAAUUUAUAUAGCAGUCAUUCAAAUGUUGGUCCUAGCUAGUAGAACUAAACUCAUAUCACUUUCAAGUAAGAUCUUGAAUUUGAGUACUAUGGAUUAAAAAAAAUACAUAGUUUGGAAAGGUGGUCCGACAUGUUUUGUGACAAAUAUCAGCAUCUCAAUGUUGGUAAAUACUUGGUUUCAAUACAAUGGUUAAAAAUUAACAUGGAUUGGAUAAUUACAAGGAAUUCUUUGCCUAACAACAGUGUCUUUUUCCGUUCUUGUGCACAGUCAAUGAAUAUUACAAAAAUGAACUUAAGAAUUAAGAUAUAGAGGGCCAGAGGGGACAUGUUCUUUCUCAUACCUUAGUUCUGUUUUGUGAAGAUGACAACAACAUUUUACGGAUCACAAUCCUAUUGAGUUAUUAGAAUUGGGGUGCACUUAACUCGACUAUUACAAAACUGGUUAGUAAAGCAAAAAUUAUACCUAUUUUUAAAUUUAUGUUUAUGACAUAUUUCAUCCAAUGUUAGACUCUUAACGCAAGCGGUUCAUAUUCAAAGUUUAAUAUAUCUUAAUUGAACCGUAAUUUAAGUGAUCAGAUAGUAGUAAUAUGAUAACAAAGGCGGUGGCUAUCCACCACUUAUGGACUAAACAUCUCAAACGUUGUAUGAUUGGUUCGAUAAUCGUGAAUUAAACGGAUUUUGAAUAAAGCUCGAUAUUGAACCUAUCUCAACUUUUACAAAAACCUACAUGUAAAAUGAGAAUUCUUCUUUGCUUCCAUACUCUUAUUUUCAUGUCCUAUCUUAUUCAAUGUGUUUCUCUUAACUGUUAUAUAAAACAUCUUACUUUUCUUCUCAAUGAAACAGAAUAAAAAAGAUUUAAAGCUAUAUGAGUUGGACAGAAAAUCCAUGUGACUGUAUUCCCUAUUGUUUGCCUAAGUAAGUAAGUAAUUCGGUCAUUAUUCCUAGGUACUCUGAAUUUCUUCUUCCUCACAUGUUUUGUCCAUCUUUCGAUACCAAACAAACCACUAAAUAAAAUCUCAAUCAUUAACCAAAUCAAAACAAUACCAUGGAUCUACCACACGAUUCACAUAAUUAUAUGUCUUUUCUUGCCACGAUCAAUAUUCUCUGGUGUAGCUAAACAAUGAUUUAAACCGACAGACAAUUUUUAUUUUAAUAUACUCCCACCACGUGGGAGCUUCCCAUGCCAUAUCAGGGAACAUUGUAGACAUAUUGUUUGUUUAAAGAAUCAAUAAUUCAUUGUUGGAUGCAAAAUGUCUAACCAUUUCGAAUACUAUAUGUUGGUAAAUUUCAAUUCAUGUUCAGUUUUUUAUUAAUUAACAAACUUAAUCAACGUGAAAGCAUUCAUGUUGUCUGAUUUAGUAUUAUUCGAUCAGUUGUCACAUGAACAAAUAAUUACUAACCAUUCUUUCAUUCUCUUUUGGCACUUUUUUUUUUUUCUUUCUAAAACUUUAUUUUGCCUAUCAAGUGGAAGCAAUGGCAAUGAAUGCAUGUAAUAAUUAGCUAGAAAUUGAAAGUGCAAUGCAUUCGUUUUCAACGAAACGUAUUAAAGUGGUUAUAUAGCAUUUCAUUUUGAAGAAAAAUAAGAAAGUAGGUGCUAGUAUUCUUUUCGCAUAAAGCAAAAAUACAUAAUUUAUGUGGCAAUGAACCAUGUCACUUGUAUGCGUAUGAACACAAGCAGAGGGAAUAAUAGGCCACUUCCCAAUCAAUGAUCAACUGUUUUUUUUUAAGAAAAUCAAUCAUCAACUGAUGGACGGCAAAGACUUUUAAUUAUUUCAAAUUCAGUUUUGGAAUUUUCCUCCACUGCAUUUAUUUAUGGUCUUGAGUUGCAACGAUGAACUGGCAUCAUCUACCAACUUUGCAUAAUUUGAGGGAAAAUCUCAGCAGAUUUUGUAGAGAAAUAUCCUUGUAUUUUGACAACUUAUUCAAUUUGAAUUGUAAAUCAUGUGUAUGAGACAAUUAUUUGUUCUGGAGCCACUCUAAGAUGGCUGGGGUGCGAACUAAAAAAAUAUAACUUUAUUUCAUCCAUUAAAUAUAUGCUCCUUUAUUUGUCCAUUAUAUAUACAUGACUGUUAAUUUACACCAACCUAAAAUCACUAUAUGUUAAUCUUGUUCACCGAUAAAAUGCCAACAUUAUGUUUUAUUUUUGUUCAAGUUGUGUAUGCCAUACAUAUUAAUUCAGUAUGAUAUUCUUCCAAAUUUACUUGUUUUGAUUUACAUUUUUUUUUUUUUUUUGCAUUUAGUUGUUUAGUUUUUAUUCUAAUACAUAGUUUGUUUUUUCAUUAUAUUAUUCAAGGUCAUAUUUGAAUACCUAUGACCUUUUACCAAUAAUAUCAUAAUACAUAUACCUAGUUUUCUAUGGCAGAAGGAUGAUUUUGGAUUUUAAUUUCCUGUAUGAUUUAGGAGUUGAAAAAACAUAUAUAUAUUUUUUUAACAAUCAAAAAUGGAACUUAUAUAUAUUAACAAAACACGGACACCUCCAAGUACAAGAUGUAUCAAGGAAGCCCAAAGUAUUUACAAAUAUACAAAGUCAAUCAAGACAAAAAUUAGCGAAGUCCCAAACAAACCAAGGACUUGACCACCACAGUUGGGAACCAAAAACAAAAACAACAUUAUUAGCUUUUAGCCACCAAAGGGAAUACCGCUUGACUUUGUCCAGCAACUGAUCAAUGGAGCUACCUGUAUUGUUGAACAACCUUUGACUACGGUCAUUCCAAAUGAUCCACACACUAAGCAACCAAAGAAGCUGCAAAAAUGAGCACUGUGCUCGGCUCCACCUGCGGAAUGAGAGAACUGAAGAAAAUGAUCUGAUACAGUAAUGGGGUCUGGGCCUGAAACACCAAGCCAAGACCGCACCUGACACCACAAAGUGCCAUAAAAACCACAAGAAAUAAAUAAAUGUUGAGACGUCUCAAGUUGGCCGCACCCUAACAAACAACCCGCAUCCGCAUCUAAGAGAAUACCGCGAUGCAUCAGAUUGGACCUGGUAGGCAACCGAUCCUUUGUCAACCUCCAAGCAAAAAUUGAGACCUUAAAUGGAACAUAUUUAUGCCAAACUUAUAAUCAAAACUAUAACAUGUUGCAAUUUCAAUGAUACCACACACAUAUAAAAUCUCAUUUGCAGAUAUAUAUGAUAUGAUAUAUCCUUAAUCCGUGUACCUCAAGUACAUGCCUUCUCAUCUUUCUUCUUGUCCCAAGAAAUGGAAAAAUGAAACAAAAUAAAAAACCAUAAAUAUUUUCUAUUGUAUAUACAUGUACAUAACACCUGAUUGGAUAAGGUGAAAGUGACUAUUCUACUACAAUAUGAGAAAGUAUUUGUACUUUCAUCAUGAGAGACACUACAUUUAACAUCUAAUGACCUCUCGAAUAAGACUGACUCUAAUACGGAAGAGAUUUGAAGUUAACCAUAAAAAAAAUAUAUAUACAUAUAUACUAAAAAGAUAUGUAAAUUAAAUGAAUAAUAAAAAAGAAAUUAAUAUCUUUGAUGAUUGAUCAAGAAACUGCAACACGGUUCAUGACAAAAAAUCGAGUAGGUUUUGGUUGAAAAGUCUUCCGCCUAUGAAGAUCAUGGCUAGAGGGAUGCUUAAUUAUUUUGAGGAGAAUUGCCUUCAAUGAAUUAUUAGCAUUUGCAGCCAUGACCAUCGAUGAGCGAUCAAAAUAAUGAUUCAAGUUAGAGGAGGAGGAAGAUGAGGGUCGAGCUACCACAAUGCGUGGUGGUUUCUUGUGCUUGCUGCACCGGAAUGAGCCUGGAUGGUUGGUCGGUGAGCACAUGCACGUACGAUGUGGUUGAUUUGUGUGGGAAUGAGGGUUUGUCAUGGAAGAAGCAUUUCUUGAGGCCAUAUAGAUCGAUCGGGGGAAUAUGUAUGUAAAUUGUAAAGAACGAGUUAAUAAACCUAUCUAUAUGAGAGUUUAUAUUUUGAGGCCAUGAAAAAGCGGCUUAAUAGAGUAGACUCAUUAUGGUAUAUUAUUAGGUAAAAACAUUAUUGACCUUUUGUUUCAGUACGAAUUUUUAGUAUAUUUGAUGGUUGCUCAAGCAAUUUUAUAGGAAUUUAUUCGCUCUCAAGCUCUAACCUUCUUUUAUCUAUCUUAAUCACACCACGGGACAUUUUCUAUUCUUUUCAUUAUUUACUAGACUUUCCACCCGUGCUGCCGCACGAGUCAUAUACAUUGUAGAUGUAGACAAAAAUAAAUCUCAAUGCAUAUCAAAGAGAAUGAAAUAUGUGGUCCCAAAUAUAUGCAGAUGUUGGAAUUCGAACCUCAAACACCACACGUAUUCACCUUAAAAAUAUUAAUUUUUACCAAUCGUGUGUUACUUCAUUCUUUUGUUAAAAUUAUAUGUCAAUGUUAUAUUAUUGGUAUGUUACUUCAUCUUUUUUUUUUUUUUUUUUGACAAAAUGUUACUUCAUUCUUUUGUAAAAAUUAUAUGUUAAUGUUAUAUUAUGUACCUAAAAAUAGCUCAUUCUUAACCUCAACAUGUAAAAUGUUUUAUUUAAAUAAUUUUCCUUUUAUCGAAUAUUUGGCAUUUACCGUAAAUGAUACUCUUUAAAUGUUUGUUGAAAUGUUUCUUCCACCUAUUUAUAUAGAUUACAAAAUUCUGGUGCAUUUUGUGGUAGAUAUUUAACAAAGAGCGUUCAGUUCUAAUUUGGAUGAAAAGUGUAAUAUUAACAAAAAAAAUGGUGCUAUAAUCUUUCAAAACCCUUUUAUUCCAAUAGAGCGAUUUGUUUUGUUGAAUAAAUAGGGCGAUUUGUUUUGAAGAAAUAAGGGAAAUAAAGCGAUGCCGAUUUGCUUUGUUCAUGAAAAUAGGAGAAUAGGUGUGAGCAUUAGGGUUGUUCAUGAAAAUAGGAGAUUAGGUGUGAGCAUUAGGGUUAAAACAGUAAAAUUAUGCAAUAGGGUUUAGGUUAAAAUUAGGGCUUACGAGUUAACUUUAAUAUAUAAAAAGAUUAGGUGUGAGCAUUAGGGUUGUUCUUAAAAAUGGGAGAUUAAGUGUGAGCAUUAGGGUUAAAACAGUAAAAUUAUGCAAUAGGGUUUAAAUUAAAAUUAGGACUUAUAGGUUAAUUUUAAUAUAUAAGAAGAUUUAUAUACAUUAGUAUUUUAAUACCUAUUAUUUAUAACAAUACAUGCAUUAUACUCUUUCUAUUGAAGUAGCGAUCUUCUUGAAACAUCUCCCAACCUUGUUUCAAAUUGAAUUGAUCCUGACUGGCUCGGGGGGAAUAUGAAGAUUGCGCUACAUGCACUAAGAAAUUGCUCACAUACAUCAUUAUUGUUUGUUGAACGACAAUUGACUAUCGUUUUCUUUAAAAUAAUAGUUAAUUAUCGUUCAACACUUUUAAAUUGGUUAUAUCAUAUUUUAAAUCGGUGUAAUCGAUUUAAACUAUCCCCCAAUCGAUGGUUAAUUGUCGUUAGAUGUAUUUUUGGUAAUUUGAGUUACAUAUGAACAAAUGAUAGGUGCCUAAAGAGCAAUUUUUGGAAAAUAUUUUAGUUCCAACUUCCUAGUCGAAGCCCAAUUCGUAAUUUCUUAGAAUAGGCCCAAUGUCUCUAUUUAACAAUUACUCUAAAUUUUUAGACUAUUAUUUUUUCCACCCUAUGACAUUCUCACACGCCCUUUUUUUUUUUUUACUUUCCAAAAAUACAAUUGGUUUGGAUUAUAUAAUCUAAACUAGGUUUGAAUUAUAAAAUCCAAAACAUUCAGAAACUGUUGGAACCUAAAGCACCUUGAUCCUGAAGUACAUUCGAACAGUUCAGAUUAUAAAAUCCGAACACUUUUAGUCAGUUAGUUUUGGAAUAUAAAAUCCGAAGAGUGUCAAACACCUCAUAAAAUGUCAAACUUUGGAGUAAAAAAGACACAUUUGAAUUAUAUAACCCGGAAUGUAUCAUCACAAAGACAGAAGUGCUUUGUUUUGGUUGAGACAUGCAUUUGACACUUAUAUAACCAAAAAAUAAAUAAAGCUAAUGCAAUUAUUUUGGGAUUUUAAAAUUUGAAAGUCCAUCAAAAAACAUAAAAAUACCACAAAAAAUUGUAAAAAUCAAAUAAAGCAAGUGAAUUUUUUUCUCGUUUUUUUUAGAAUUUGAAGAAAUAAAAAAAAUGAAAAACGAGUUCAAAUGAUGGAAUUUUGAGUAGCGAAGUCUUUUUAAGAAGUCUCGUCUAGGGGACUCCUGUUCUUUGAUAUUUUUUCUCAUGAUCUUGUGACUAAAUUUCAGAGUAGUCCAAUCAAGUAGCUUGAAAAUCAGAUUUUUCGAUCAGAACACGGUUGGAACAACUAACAUUGACCUGAACUACAAGACAUACUAUUGCAGUGGAUUAUAAUGGUUAGAAAUGUUAGUAUGAUUCUUAAAUGGACUGUCUCUAUUUCAAAAUAUGUUCAAUCUUUAUGUUGAUACAAUUCAUAUUAUAUAAUUCAAACAUGUUUUUCUAUUGAUAUUUUGGCAAAAGAAGGUGUAUGUAUUCAAAGUUUAUAAUAAACAAACAAACACUUUAGAUUUUAUAAUCAGAACGCGCCCUUUACAUGCUUGAAGUAGGGUCUAUAGGGGGUGCCCUAUAAACAACAAAAAGUUGUACCAAAAAACAAACCACAAAAAGCUCUUUAAUGAUCUUAAACAUGUAAGCCAACAUUUUUUUUAACAUCAAAGGAUUUUUAUUCAACAGAAGUGAACUAUAUUUCAUUUAAUGUUAUCCUUCCUAAAUUACACUUCAAUCAGUUUAUAUUUUAUCUUCCAAUAAAGUAUAUUACAAGUGUGCUAUGUAUUUCUCAAAUGUGCAUGAGCACCAUAUAAAUUUUAUUCAAUUUCAAUAUAUAUAUUUAUAGUCCACCAAGUUAAGACUGUUUGAUGUAAUUACGAUGAUGGAGUUGUCUUUCAUAGACAAUCCAAAAUACCAAGGACAACACUGCAGCUACAGAUACCACAUUUGAUCCCCAAUAAAUAUAUUUAGUACAUCUCUCUAGGCCAGGACAAUAGUUGUUGUUAAUAUCUACGAACAUUUUUCGAACAAAAGUACAAUCCAUUAAAUCAACCAAAAAUGGUCCAUAGUGAUACAAACCAUAUGCCACUUCCACAGCAGUAGCAAGUUGUGUGUACAAGUAUGGAGCCAUGCAACCAGUCGUACCAUAAUUAUCCAAUGGAGAAACUUGGCAUGUAUAAUUCUUCCACGCCUGCUUGGAUAUUGAGAUCAAAUAAAGGUUAGACUUAAGGGUUAGUAUUCAUCAUAUUUUAGAGUUUAGGGUUAGAAUUCAUAUUUUGUAGCUCUUACCUCAGUGGCAUUUUCAAAUGCAACUUCCCCAGCAGCACAAUCUCGAACUGUAAAGUCACUAUUGAAUGGAUUACAAAGAAGAGGCAUAGAGGGGGCUGAUUGAUUAUGAGACAUAGAAUUUCCAUUCAAGAUAAUGGAAAUGAAGCCAUUAAUUGAGUUAGCAAGACUAUAUAUUACAGACUUGCUUUGCAAAAAGGUUUCAUGGGUUGAUUCAAUUUCAAUGCAUGGAAGAAUUUCAUCCAAGGAUGUGUGAGCUGUUGGGUUCAGAACCCACUCGUCCAUGGCAACACAAGUAUCACCAAUUGCACUGUAGUCAAAAUAUAUAUGCAAGGAAAUAUUAGCAUUAUAAGCAUGAACGUAAAAGAUAAGAGUAGAGUAAAACUUUCCUGUUAUAAUUUUCUUCUAUCUUUUUUUUUUAAAACUAUUUAUGCCAUAAAGGAUAUUUAAUUUCUAAUCAACUAGUAAAUCUCAAAACCCCAAAGUUCAUAAUUGCAUGAACGCAACACAACCAUUACCACAUUUUAAACCGUGAGUUCUAUAAUCUUCUUAAGAUUAUUUCCUCCAAAUUUCUACUAUUACAAUGAAGCAUAUAAUAGAUUCAUAAUUGCAUAACUAAUUUUAUUCAAGUAUCUUUUAUAAGUUGAGAAACCAAUUCAAUAUUUUAGUUUUUUUUUUUUUUUUUUUUUUUUUUUAUGUUUGCGGCAAAGGUUUUUUUUUUAUUAAUUCACAAUUUUAGUGAUGAUGAUAGAAAUUUCUACCCGUUAUUUAUGCUAUUGAAUUUUCUCAUGCUAGAUGUUGAAAUAAUUUAUGGCUUCAAUAUGACUCACUCCUCACGGUUCAAGAUUUUAUUAAUGUAAAUUUGAUUCCUUAGAAGCUUAAAGUUAACUGAAAAGGAAUUUUCGCUUGAGAGUUUCUCCUAUUUAUAGAGAAUGAAAUACUUGUGCAGAUAGAAUAGUCAAUGCUGGCUUCUUUGUUGAUGGUUUAGUCCGAAGCGAUCAUUUACCUAAUUUUAGAUAAGCUUAUGUGAUAUUAUGUUACACAAUUGUAAUUUUUGUUUCAGAGAAGAUAAUUUAUUUAGAGAAAAGGGUACAUCCAAAAUUACACUAAGACAAAAAGUUAUAAUAAAUUGGAUCUCAAAAUUAACAAGUGAAAUAAGAACUUACUUAUGAAGAAAAACAAAUGCACCACAAAGUAUAAAUGUUCCUGCAACAAGAAUCCAUCCAGCAAAUACUAAGCUGCAACCAUGAAAACACACAAUUUCCACAACAAUCUUAAUGAGAUACAAAAAAAUCAAUAACUUUCAUAUCUAGAAAGAAAAAAAAAAUGAAACUUACGAGUAUAAAGUAUACUUCAACCCAAGUAUUGAAGUAACUGCAAAAAAAAAAAAAAAAAAAAAAAAUCACAAAAACCACAUAAGGAAAUGUGGUUAUACUUUGGUAAACCUUCAGAAUAGGAUAAGAAAAAUAAAAAAAAAAUAAGUUACUACAAUACUCACAAAAUCCAAGAACUAAGACAAUAAGCAUAGAAGUAACAAUAAUUAUAAGAGCCAAUCUCCUACAUAAGAUAAAAAAUUAUUGUUAGAAAAUACAAUUUCAAUAAGCAAAUAAAAAUAAUAAAAUUAAACUCACAUUCCAUGGAUGGCGUUGUGUAACAUUUGUGAAUUAUUGUGAGUCUUGAUAGAAAUAUCAGCAGCUACAUCAAUAAUUUUCUUUUUAACACUAUCAAUUUCUUCAUCAACAUCAUCAGGUAAACCAAAUUCAAUAGCCAUCAUUUUAGCUGAAUCCAAAUAGUUUGUCACAUUCUUUAGGUUUUCAAUUGUGAAUUCAGCUUGGCUCACGAUAUACUUCAUUGUGUUUGAUGUGGUUCCAUGAAACUGUUGCUCACUAGUGUACAAAACAACACAUCCACCUCUGACGUAAACAAACAAAUAUGAUUAGGAGACAAAACUAUUAAGUGAAACAAACACACUAUUUAAUGUGUUUUGAAGAUUAAGGAAGAUUGUUACGUACAUUGCCACAAUUGUACAUAGGAUAAGGAAGAUGAAGGUUGCAUAACAAACUAGUUGAGAAAAGCCAUGAGGAUCUCUAGGGCAACAACAGUAACACACACAAAUGAUGUGUAAAACAAGCCCAAAAACCACCAACCAUGUUGCAGCAACAACGAAGAAAGGAACUGCUGUAGAAAGAACAGACUGCACCAAGACAACAGCAAUUUAAAGUUAACAAUACAAACUCAAACAUGAAAUAACCAAUUAAAAUGCAGGUGUAUUUUCCAUAUAUUAUUGAGAAGCACACAAAAUAUUGCAAUGGAUUCAAAAUAAUGUUAGGUAUAUAUGAUCCAACCGGGUGUAAAAUUUAACUACAUACAUACACGUGAAGGCCUACAUUACCCCUUCAUGAAUUGGAGGAAGAUUUUUGGAACACAAAAGUAUAUGUUGUUAAUCACUUUUGAAAUCUAUAGGUCUAUAUAUAUUUAUGUAUUUUCUGAAACUAUGCAAAAUACUCUCUACGAUCAAAUUUAUAAGAUUUUUUUUUUUUUUUUAGGUUCAUUGGAUAAUUAAUAGACUAAAUACAUAGUUAUUUAAUGAACCUAAAAAAUUAUAUUUCACUUAUAAAUGUGUCCAGAGAGAGAGUAAGUGGUUAAUGUCUUGCAUUUUUGUAAUUAAUAAAGUAGUCAAAUGAUUAAUGAAAUUUAUGUUCCAAAAGUGAUUAAUAAUGUACACUUUUUGGUUAAUUUAGUAGUGAAGUUGCUUCUAAAUGACACAACUCAAAUUUUGUGUUGUAAAAUCCACCUCUAUAUUAAAAAAUGUUUUUUUGACAAAUUAAACACGGUAAACAAUAAAUGGUGUCGUAUUUGUGUCUAAUUUUAUUUUAUGUGUCCAAAUAACAUAAUAAUGAAUAUACGUAGAACUAUAACAAGGGAAUAGAAGGAGGGUAACCGAAAUAUAUUCAGGAUUGCUAAUAUUCCAGCCACCAGUGUAGCGUUUGAAAUGGUUAAAAACAUCUUUUCGAAGAGUUCUUUCUUGAGCAAGCACGAAAGUUUUAUUCUCCUGAACACCUUCUACAACUAAUGAUCUCCAUGCCAUCCAUGAUAACUCUUCAUCAACUUGUUUAUCAACAAUGAAUUUGACACCAUCUGAAAAUAAGAUUCUCAUUUGAAGAAUAUUAAGCAAUUAGAUUAAAUUAAUUUAAGAGAGGUAACAAAGAAAGUAAAAGAGAUAAAGAAUGAACCUGGUUGAAGGGAGGAGUUGAAAGGAAAGGAAAUUCCAUGAGUUGAGUAAAGAAUGAGAAAAAGGGAGAAGAAGAAAAUAAGAAAAGAAGGGAUUGAUAUGAAACGUAACAUGAUGAUCAUGGUUAAUGGUGUGUGCCUUGUGUAAUUUUAUAGAGCAAAAAAGUAUAAUUAGAUUUUGAACAUUAUAUUACAUGUGAGAUUUUAUGCAUUGCAUUGUAUUAAUGUGGUAUUUUUGAAUAAGGAAAGUUUCGGUUAUCCUUAUAAAUGACAGAUGUUUUAAAUACAAAAAAGGAAAAGAGUACGAGUAUUUAAUGGUGAAUAUGUUCAUUGCACCCACUUAAAUGAAAAAUCAAUUUGUAUAAUAAAAAAUGUCGUUCUUUCAAGUAAACAUUUGUUAUUCAUUCAUUAAAUAAUAUUAAUUGAAUGAAUCUAAUUUUUGUUUAUAAUAAUGACCAGAAUCGAUAUGAUCUUGUAUUGCACUUUGGCGUAUAUGUUUCAUUUGAUAAUUUUUAUUUUAAUUCACCUUUUUGUUUUUCAAUUUCAAAGUAUUUUAUGUUAGCUAAAAUUAAUUUUAAAAUGCAAAAUAGAAACUUACUUUUAAAAUUCCUCCUUAAUUUUUUUUUCUUCAUAAAAUUACUUUUAAAUGGUAUAUUAGGAAUGUUGAAAGAAAUUUACUUUUAAAAUGCAAAAUAGAAACGGAAAGAUUGAUUUAUGAUUUGGGUUGAAAUUUCAUAUAAAGAAGUUUGAAAUUUUUUAAUUUAUCUCUUUAUUACUUAAAAUAUUAAUUAAUUUUUUCUUUCAAAAUAAAUGAUAUGUUGUUACUAGGAAAAUUUAUCUUAUUUGUUUUUUGUUACCAUGUUACAUAUAAAUAUGAAGUUUCUAUCUAUCAUUAUUUAACGAUGAAUAAUCUUUUUUUUUUUUUGUUGAACAAGCAAAAAUGAUAUAUAUUAACACAUCGAAAAAAUUAUGCUCCCUAGCACAAGUAGUGCGUAAAGAAGCAGAACAAAGUUAUAACAAGCAAUCGUGGUGAUACAAAAGAAAGUGAAAAAGCAAUCAGCCAAAAUGAAUCAUCUAAUCUCCAAACAAACAAGAAGUUGCUGCCACCACAAAUGGUAGUCAAAGGGAAAUCACACAUUUUUAGCUUUCAACCAUCGAAGGGAUGUAAUUUUAACCAUUUUCAGGGCAUAAUGGAUUUAACAUUAUUAGAGAAGAGCAUAUGCUUCCGUUCAUUCCAAAGAACCCAAAUACAACAUAGCCAAAUCAAAUGUAAAAAGGAACGCCAGGGAGUGUAUCCUUUUGAAGAAUAAACAAAUUGAAAAAAGUGAUCCAUAACAUGUUAAGGAUCCACAGAAUACACAUCGAGCCAAGUCUUAACGAUGAUUAAUCUUAAUUGGGGAACUUGUGAGUCGCACAUGGUGAGUUCUCUCAUCCCAAUAGAAUUUUCUUAUACACAAGGUGAAGAGAUCAAAUCAAUAAGAUGAAGAGAUAAAUUAAUCUCUUAAAAAUUUCCCUAUUUAUAUACUUCUUAUAUAUUUUAUUUCAUUAUUAUUAUUAUUAUUAUUAUUAUUAUUAUUAUUUAAAGAAGGUUUAUUUAGCUAAUUACAUCACAUGUGUCAUCCUCUGAGUUAUUUGACAAUUAAUGUCAAUAAAUUUUAUUUAAUAAUUUCUAUAUCAAUUAAUUUAAAUUAAUUAAUCACAUUUAAGGAGUGAUUUUUUUUAUAUUAAAGUGACACUAAUAAUUGUUUUGCAACCAGUUUCAAGGGGUGUUUAAACUUAACACUUUGAAGUUACAAUGUUAAGCUCUUACCAUUAAUCAUAUUCCAUAUUUUAUUCUCUUAAUUAUUCAAUUUUUUUUUGUUACUUUAGAUUUUAAAAAAUAAAAUAAAUUCAUUUAAGAUUAAUUAACUAUAGCUAACUGAUUGGUAUUGGAAAUAUAAAAAGUAUAAAAAAAAUUCAUAAUUAUAUUUACUACACCCACAAUAAAACUCACGUUUUAGUCCCUCACUCUUUUCUCUGUUUGCCAAAUAAAUCUUUGGCUGUUAAAUUUAACUUCAAAUGUCUAUGGUAGAUCAAAACAUUAUAGAUAGUCCACCAUAGACCUUAUUAAUUUUUCCAAUUUUAACCCUUUGACAUUUUUUUUUAAAAAAGAGGGUUACUUUAGUAAUUUUCAUUAAAACAUAUUUGUUAACUUGCAUCAAUUUGCUAACUUAGAGCUACUUUUAUUUUAUAACAAAUAGUUUGAGGGAUGUUUACUAAACUUUACUAUAAAUUGGUUUACACGAGUGGAUAUUGGUUUUUUUUUUGUCCAAAUGAAAAGGUGCACUUUUGCUAACUUGGACCUUCAUGUUUUUUGUUGGUCUAAGUUAGUGUGUGCGUGUGUGUGUGUCUAUAUAUAUAUAUGAGUCAAGAUCCGUUGACACCAGGUGUCAAUGAAUUUGUUGAUAUCAAAUUUUAACUGUUGAUUUCUUUUGAUCUAAAUGCUUAUAUUUAUUCAUUAAGAAUAUAAUGUGAACCACAUAAGAGUAUAUGUAGAAUAUCUUUUUGCGAUUUUCAUUUCCUAAUUUAUUUCGUUGAUUUUCUCUUUCUAUAUUUGUGAUUUACAUUCCAUUAAUAACUUUGUUCUAUGUGUGUAGCAAACAUAAGUAAAGUUUUUCUAUAAAAAAAAAAAGGGUAAAUUUCUCAGAAAAAAUAGUUACUUAUUCUUCAUUUUGUUCCAAUGCCAAGAUUCAACCUUUUCUAUUUGCAUAUGAUAACUCGUUUUCUAUAAGCUCCAUUAUUUCUUCUUCUUAAUCUUAUGCCAACUUUUUCUUUAAGCCAUGUUUCUUCUUCUUCUUCUUAAUCUUAUGCUAUUUUUUAUUGUUACAAUCUUAUAUUACUAAAAUGGCCUUCAUGUUUUUCUACUAAUUAAAAUUUUAAAGGAAAAAAAUUGAACGAAAGCAAUUUAAAAAAUAAUUUGGCACAAAUCAUGGCAAGUCAACCGUAUUGAGGACAUGUAAUUCAUAACAACAAUGUAUUUCCACCGAUGAAUUGAAGUGUUGUUCUACUUGUUCAACAAGUUCAAUGCAUAAUUUUUUUUUUUUACAUAAUAAUGCUUGUUAAUUAAAUCUUGAUUAAUAUUUUGAAUUCAAAAUGAUUGAGGCUGCUGUAUCGUGCAAGCCCCAUUUUUCUACCCAUUGUUUCUUGCUAAUUUCUGGUAGAAUGCAAUUAUACAGGUUACAAUCUCACUAUGAAAAGAGAGAGAAUUUGGUGCAACAAAUUAGGAAAUGAAAAUCACAAUAAAUAUGGUAUAUGAUAUUUUUAAGUGGUUAAAUAUUAGCCUUUGGAUCAAAUGAAAUCAACGAUUAAAAUUUGUUGUCAACGAAUCCGUUGACACCUGUAUCAACGGAUCCUGACUAUAUAUAUAUAUAUAUAUAUAUAUAUAUAUAUAUAUAGAAACACACACACACAACCACAUCGUCGGUUUUGGUCGAUGAAAGUCCUACAAAGAAGUUUCGAUUGGGCAAUGGCCUUAGGCAUGAGACCAACUUUCAUAUUUUUUUAUUCAUGAUAGUUCCGGGAGGGUUGAACGUCGGUGGUUCAUCUAUAUUUUUAUAUUUAUCAUCUUUAGUUUGCUUAUGAUACUUUGAUCAUGGGAGAAAAUAGUUGGAGAAAUAUCAGAAGUUUGAAGACUAAUCUAAUCCUUUUUGAAAUCAUUUCGGACUUGAAAGUGAACUUUGAUAAAAGUUUUACUUGUUUGUAUCAAUGUGGUAGAUUCUCGAUUGGUGGAAGCGGAUAUUCUAUUGUAGGAGAUCAUCGUCGCUUAUCUUUCUGAUAGUCGUUGUAUGAUAACGUUCGUAAAAAAUUAGGGUUGAAAAAGUAAAUAUUUAUCAACGUAUUGUUGGUUUGUUCAUAUAAAAUUUGUUAUGUCGUCAAUUCUAGUUUAUUUCCUUUCUUCAAGUCUCCCAUAAGUUUUCUCAAUUGAUAUAUGAAUCAAGUUUGUAUCCUUGAAGGUGUCAUUAUUUGCGUGGAAACUUGUGAACAAAAGGAUCCCUACUAAGAAUCAUCGCUUGCGCCAUGGAGUGGUAGCUUUUAUUUCUUUCCUUUAUCUAGGAGAGCGUGGGAAGGAAGAAACAGUUAACCAUCUUUUCUACGAUGUGUUUUCUUCGAUUGUAUAUGAGGACCAAUAUGUAUUACAAAUUUGAUUAUUAAUUAUUUUUUUAAUUUUGUUUAAAAAAAUAGGAGGGUGACGCCGAAAUUCUAGCUGACAUGAUAGGGAUCUUACUAUCUAAUAUCUAUCUAUCUAUCUAUCUAUAUAUAUAUUGUAUGAACAUCAAAUUAAAAUUCGAAAUUUCUAAAAAACUUGUUUGUCUAUUUAUACGAACGAAAAGGUAGCCUUUUAAGUCUUUUCUUCUUCAAGUAUACAUAUGCUUUUUGAUUACAGAAUCUAAUAAUAGUGAUAUAUUAUAAAGUUGACUGCAAAUUAUGCCAUCAAAUAAAACAGAACAUAAUUAGAAUGAAGAUUGGGCCGUGCUCACUGGAUAACGAUCCUUUGGAUGAUUUGGUGUAGAGGAAAUCAGAAAUGUUGGAACAAUGUAUUACAAGUAGUGUUUGAAGUUAGUAGAAGAGCAAGAGAGGCUUUGGAAGAUUGGCCAUGCUCAUGAGUAAGGUUUAAAUAUGAAGCAGGUAGCAAAUCCAAACGACAGCAUAUCCAACAUAAUUGGGCAAAACCACACAAUGAGUGCAACGUAGACUACAUUGAAGAGAAGUGAUCAAAGUUGGUAUUGACACAUCUUACUAACCCAAUAAAUAGUAAAUUCAUGAUUUUAUUUUCUUAUGGCAUUUUAAUCUUUAAAUUUUUGGUCUUCAUCUUUAAAUUAACGAGGAGUGUUAUAACACUCUUUCUAAGACUCUUGCUAACACAUUCACUUGUUUAUUGGAUGAAAUUCAUGUGAGUAUCACACUUUAAAAAUGGAUCUCAUGUAAAAUGGUGACACUUACAUAUGUUUUACCCAAUAGAAGAGUGGGUCAAGAGAGUGGCUCCUAACAUUUCUCUAAAAUAAUACUAAUAAUAUAAAAUAAGAUAUUGGCAUGGGCGGUUUAACCGCCCGGCGACCUCGGUCGACCGGGCUCGAUCGAUAAUUUUUGCAUAUUAGACCCAACCCAAAAGCUCAUUAACACACUUACAAAAAGAAAAAUUUGGGUGAAAACUCUCACACGCAAAUAGGCUCGGAAAAAACAUUUACCUCCUAAUUUUAUUUAGCACACUAUUGACGGGUUCAUCUCUCUUAUUUUAACGGGUUAAUUGUUCAAAUUGACCAUAUAAUAUACAUUAUGUCUGAAAAAUGACCCUGUAAAAUACAAAACAUAUAUUCUAACAUUGUAACAUGGAUUUCUUCUUAUUUUUGACCACCCUAUAAUAUACGCGUAGUCUUAAAAUGUGACCUACAAGUUGAAUUUUUUUUCACUAUUUUUUCAUACAUGUUUAAUACGUUAAAAUAUAGCUUUACACAAAAAAUUAAAUUUCUUCGACAGGGAUAAAAUAAUUAUGAAUUUUUAUUCCUUCAUAAUUAUGAAUUUCUUAAACAAUUUAUAAUUAAUUUGUAUGUCGUUUAAAAACUACAAUAUUUUAUUGUGAAGGUUCUUAUCAUGUUCUAGUAUUGCCUACAAAAUUAGGGAACUAAUUUUGACUUGUGAGUAUACGCUUACGCGGAACAAAAUUUCAAUUUUGCACGUUUUGGUUGAAAAAUCAAAAUAAUUUAAACGACUUUGAAAUGUUAUGAAACUUUACAGAUCCUUUUUAUGUAUUUUUAUAGAUGUCUUUGCAAAUAAUGAGCUUAAAAUUCAAUUUAUAGGUCGAGAUUUCCGUUGUUUUGUUUUUUUAGUUUUUGACAUUUUAAAAAUUCAUAAUCAAUUUGUCGUUUGUCGAAAAUUUAUAAUUUUUUCUAUGUAAAGCCAUAUUUUAACGUUCUUAACUCGCCUCUAAGAAAUCAUGAAAAAAUUUCAAUCUCUUGGUUUCUUUUUUGGACUUCGCGUAUAUUACAGGGUUAUAAAUAAUAAAAUUUGUGAAUUACAUGUUCAGAAUACAUGUUAUUUAAUUACAUGGUCAAUUUUUCAGACUUCGCGUAUAUUACAUGGUCAAUUUUUCAGACUUAACGUAUAUUACAUGGUCAAUUUCAAUUAAUAACCCUAUUUAAAAUGUACUUUUGUUGACAAAAGGAGGAACCUUUUUUAUUUCGAUUUAUGAAUGUUUAUAUAUUAUGUCACAUGUUAAUUUGCGAUAAUUUUUUUGCCCAGACUCCAUAAAUUUCCUGGCUCCGCCACUAGAUAUUGGGAUGCUCUGCACAACUAUAUAGAAAAGUGAGUGUCAGAUAGAGUGCUUAUAACGAGGGCUUUAGUGGUCUUACCCUCGGGCUGACCCUGCAACUUGCCUGAAAAAAGCCUACGUAAGGGAAAAAAAUGACAAAUUUCACCUCUGUAAUUUUGAAUUCUUUAUAGUUUACCUUCACAUGGUUAAAAAAUAUUUGGACGAAGUUUGAAAAUGAAAUGACCCCUCUAAAAGGUAAAAAUGUUUGAAAAAUAGUAAAAAAAAAAACAAUUAAUUUAUGAAUAAUAUAAAAUUACAGUUAAAAUAUGUGUUUUUGUUUAACAGAGCUUAGCCUAUUUUUCGACAUCUAUAAUUUACGUAGGUUAUUUUAUGUCCUAAUUUACAUGGUUUUCACUUUUCAUAUUAUUUUCCCCUCUACUCGGUUCCAUACCAACGCUUUAUCGAGUUCCCCUACAAAAAACACUUUAUCGAGUUAUAUUUUGUACCGUAUCCAAUGGGUUAAGUAUUUUUUUUUGGUCAAAAUAAUAAUAACUUUAAAUCCAAGAACGGACCCAAUAUAUUCUCACAACCUGUAUAUAUUGGUAUGGCUAAUCCCUCAAAAUGGUAGAAUACCAAUUUAGGGUUAACUCCUUUCUCAACGGGAUAGAACUCUAUUUUUAUCACUAGAUCGAAAUCUUAGAUUACACCUUGUUGGUAAAAAAAUAAAUAUAUUUAGAGGUUCUUAACCUUAAGUAUGUGAUAUUUUAAGUAUAAAAUGACCGUUUUAAAAUGCACACGUACAUUAGUAUUUUAUUAGUACCAAUAUUUUUGUUAAUUUUCAAGAUUUAUUCUGGCUAGUCAAAAGCAGGAUUCUUGACUAGGAUAGUAGUACUAACACAAUUAUUAUAAUCACCAUACUAAUAUGAAAUUACUUAAAUAAAUGUACAUACCAUAACUUGGAAUUGGGAAUCACGUGAUACCAUUAAGACAAAACCCCCGACCAAGUGAUUAAUUAAACAAAAAAAAAACUUCAAUUUCGAGAGAGAAAGAACUUUGAACAAUUCACUUCAGUCAAAACAUCAUGUCAUAGAAGUAAUUAAAAAAAAUUAAAUAUUGAAGUAGUAGUAAAAUGUUUUUUUAGCUCUUUGUGCUACUGCUUAGCUUAGCUUAAUUUUAUUGAUUAAGGUAGCUAACACUAAUUAACAAAGAGGAGAUCUAUGAGGAACUCCUUUUCUUCUACUAAUCAUACUAGUAGCCAUAUCUUCAUCAGAAACUUUAUUGCUAUUAGAAUUGGCCAUGAAUUUUGCACACAUACUUGUCCAUCCACUCCUUCUCUUCCUAACAAUUUCUGUGCAUGGCAUUGGCAUACUCAUAUUCUCUGACCCUGAUGAUGAUACUGAAUAUGAACUCAUUGGAUCAUCACAAUCCACAAUUGUUGACCUUGUCAUCUCUAAUUCAUCUCCCAUCUCUUGUGGAAUUAGAUAGUCAGGACUUAAUUGUAGGGUGUUGCAUAUCCUUAAGUAGGGUGAAAGGUCUUUGUAGUGUUUCAGCACAAAAUCCACCUACAAAUUUAUACUCCAUAUGAUCAAAUUAAGCAUAUUUAACUAAUUAACUAAUUUUCUCUUAUAGUCCUUUUUGAUAUAAUUAAAUUCAAGUACAUAUUUUUUUUAUUAGAAGGAAACUGAACUCGGUAUCCCAUGAUUUAUAACACUGCGCAUCAAUUACAAUUUCUAUAUAAUUCAAGUAUAUCCGAUCAAUAUGGGUUCAAUUUCGAUUUUAUUUUAGUCAAUGAGCAUAAGAUAAUUCAAGUAUAUCCAAUCAUUUGUUCAAUUCGAGUCAAUUUCAAUUUACUUGUAAUCAAUGAGCAAAAAUGAAUUUAAUUCAAUGAAGUUUUGAUUGAUACUACUACUAGUAUAUAGUAUAUGUUCCAUUAAAGAACAAUCAGUUUCAUUAAUCCAUAAUUUUACGUAUAAACCAUUUUUUAGCACAUAAAUAAAAGAGUCAAUUAAAAACAAUCAGUUUCAUUAAUACUCCAUAAUUCUAUGUAUAAUUAAUAUAUGUACCUUGCAUCCAAGAGAGCAAUGGAUAAAAGGUUCUUGGAGGAUUCUAUCACAUGAAGUGCAGUAGUUUCCUGAUCCUUUGAAUUGGCGGUUUUGAGGUCUCUUCUUGAUGAACACAACUUUGGCACUAUUGAUAGUAUAGGCCUAGUAAACAACAUAAUUCAAACCUUUUUCAAUCAGAAAUUAAAAAACUACAUCCAUGUUGAAUUACAUAAGAUUAAAUUGGAAUUCAAUUAAGUUUUCUUGUAUGCAACAUAUAACUAGUGAACAUGUAUAUGUACCUGGACAUUGGUGCAGUCUAUAAGUUUCUCAAGUUCUUCCAAUCUAAGAACAUCAUGAUAAACAUAACGACGAACUUGAAGAAGGCGGUGGUAGCGAUGAGAUGGAAAGCAAUGAGGACAAAUACUAGUGCAACAAUCUAAGCAACAAACAUUCUUCUCAUUCUUUUUUGCAUUCUCAUGGUAAGAGCAACCAGCAAAGAAUUUUUCUGUAUAAAGAGCUUCCAACCAUGAAGGCUUUUGGCAUCCCUAAUCAUUUUAACCAAAAUUGAAGUCAUCAAUAUACAAGAAUUUUGAUAGAAAAAUAAUCAAGAAAACAAAGAGAAUUCAACAAACCAUGAUCAUAUAUAUGAAGACUUGUUGAGCUUUAUUGUAAUCAAGGUAUAGUAGCUAAAAAAGAGAACACAAGAGAGUAUUUAUGGAGGUUCACAAGAAGGGUAGGGACAUAAGAUAUAGAUAUAAAUAUUUAUUUCUUGGAUAUGUAAUAAAGAAAAUAUAUAUAUUUUUUGUAUAUAUAUGUUAUGAGAGGAAUAAAUAUGAUAUGAGAGGAUGAAAAAGACAGAGAAAGAGAGAAUCAUAAAGAAACUAAGUUAAGAUAUGAGGGGAACGUGGGCGCUGUUUCCGUGUCUCCCAUUCUCUUAAUCUAAACUAUUCUGCUCUUCUUCUUGGCUUAAGAGCUCUAUUGAAAAAAUAAACCUAUCUCUUCUUGAACUAGCUGCAUUUUAUUUACAUUUUUUUUUUUUAAAUUUGCCACCUCUCUUCUUAUUCAAAACAUCUUGGAAACAACCAGUUGCUAAUAGCAACUUUGAUUUUGAACUUUCAAAUUUAGGGGUUAAAUUCAAUAGUUUUGUGCAACUAAUGUAUAGGUUAUAAUUUCUUUUUUAGAAAUAUUUGCAAUGACAUCACAAUUACAGUCAAACUUACUUGCAUUUUACAAAAAAAAAAAAAAAAAUUAAAGGUUGGUAUAGCAUAACUACGCUCACAACAAUUUAAAAUCAUGGUAUAUAGUGUUGUAAGUCAUUGCUAGUUUAAUAUUUUAAAAGAUAUUCGGCCAUUUUCAUGCAUGGUUUUUUUCUUUUUUUUUUUUUAGGAAAUUUUCAUGCAUGGUUUUAUUUAAGGGACUUCUAAUUUUUUAGAGUAUAUAUAUUUUGAUUCACAACCCUCAAAUUUAUCAAGAUGAAAGGGUUUCAAUUUUUAUUUUUUUUAGAAUCUUGUAAGCGUAACUCAAAUAAUAGAUAUUCACUAUGUUUGAAUACGAUGCAAGUUCAAAUUCAAAAUACCUCCCCCCUCUUGUUUAGCGUGCAAGUAAUAUAUACAAAUAAAUAUGCAAGAAAUUGAAAUGUCAAAAUAGAGGUAUACAUGACAUGUAAAAUAUGUCUCCAAAAUAUUAUUUGAAAACUAAUUUCAUUAAAAAAUGUAAAUGAAAUUAGUUCCGACUAGUUAGUUUUCUUAUUAAUUAUAGUACUUUAGAAAGUCGGCAAAGUAGCACAUCAUAAAUUAUGAACCGAAUGAAAAGGGAAAGAAAAAGGACAGACAUAUUAGUUGAGAAAGCAGAACCGAACUUGGAAUCACCUUUUAACUCCAAACGCUAUUUUCUUUAAUGUCCUUCGUGCUACAUAUGUUGGACUUCUGCAAAUAUCUGCUCACCUCAGUUUGUACAAUUAUUAAUAUACGAAUUACUGUAUGACUUCAAAGCUAAGCAAUUAGAGCAUAGAGACACCAAUCACCUACCUACUUAGCAAGACAUAGCAUAAAACAUAGCACCGGAAAUUAAGAGCAUACUUGUUUGAUAAGUGGUAAUUUAGAGUAAUCAUUAACAUCACAUAUAUCAUGGUGAAGAAAAAAAAAUUGUAUCUAUACAUCUUUCUACGAUUAAAAAUGAGAACUAAAGGUGUACCUAGAAAACUACAUGACAUAAGGCCAAUGUAAGUUGGGGAUGAUAGACAAAAUGAGAGCUAAAGGUGUACAUAGAAAACUACAUGACAUAACGGCAACGUAAGCUGGGGAUGAUAGACAAAAUGAGAGCUAUAUGUGUACGUAGAAAACUACAUGACAUAACGCCAAUGUAAGCUGGGGACGAUAGAAUCUUGCAUAGGCCCAAAUCUAGAGGAUCAAUGCUUCCGACAAGUUUUGUUCACUCCCAACCAAAUUUUCGAAAAUACUUCUAGCAUGAGUUAAGUCACGCUGCGUGAGAUAAGUCACGCUGAAAGCCAACGUGAAUUAACUCACGUUGCAUGUCCUUUUAAAGGUCAGACAACAGCCCAAUUACUCAUGCUCCCAUGUCAAUUGAAACUUGUCAAUUAGCAGUAGAAUAAGAUUAAGUUCAAAAGAAUGUAUUGGAAUAGGGAAAAGGGAAGGGGAAGGAGAAAUAGAUGGUGGGGGAGAAGGGGACUGGGGUAAGGUAUGUUUCUUGUCUAAUGCGAAAGAGACCUUGAUGGCCAACCUUGCACCCAAACAAAUUAACCAACAUUACACUCAGACAAACCACACUUCUUUGUAGUGCGUUGCCAUCUCCAUUGACCAAUCAUACAAUUCUUGGAAUUUUUAAAGAGACCUCUUUCUAUGAAAGGUCAACGAGGGAAAAACAAUGUUGUUGUAGAAGGAUGAGGAGGAGAGAGUGAGAAGGUGAGAGUGUGAGAAAUGAUGAAGGUUUGAAACAUAUUUAAUUUAUUGGGGGAAUGAUUUACAUAUGUUAUAACCACAUUAAAUGCAGUCAAAAAACGUGUAAAACCAAGUUUGAAUAACUGACCACCAUCCCAAGAAACAUGUUUUAUGUGUUCAGACCACUGGCCAAAGCAGCGUGAGUUAAGUCACGUUGGUUUAUAACAUUCGUGAGUUAACUCACGUUGAAAGUACCCAACGUGACUUAACUCACGCAAGGGUACUUUCAUCCAUUUAGUUGACUGGGAGUAUUUUUUGUUGGGAGAAGAGCCUUUUUCAUGUAAGUUGGGGAUGACAGAAUCUUGCAUAGGCCCAAAAUCUAGAGGAUCAAUGCUCCAAUAAAUUUACCUUGUCUCUAACACGAUUUCAGACGUACACAUUUAAAAAUGAGUGUUUGUUGGAUGUUUUGGGAGGGAAUAGAUUUGAACAUGUGUCUUUUUGCAAAUUUUAGUUGUUUUGGUAUGCAUAGUAAUAUGUUCAUUGCACAAACAUCGCAUCUCGUGGAUUUUUUUUAAUAAGUUAAAUUAGCCCACCUAAACUGACUUUAAAUUAAUCGAACCUGACACCUUGAGAGGUAACACUCUCCCAGGUCUUAAGUCAAUACCAAUCGACCAACCCAAGUGGGUUGCAUCUCGUGGAUGUUGAGUGUUAAUAACGACGCAAGUAUUUAUGGAUAAACACAUCAUGAUCCAUCCUUAGGCUGGUUUUUUCUCGGUGUCUCCAAGGUGGUGGGAAAUGUCAUGUUUACUUCCUUUUGGGAAGAUCCGUGGCUUGAGGGGCGUUAUCUCAGUGUUUUGGCGUUUGGUUGUAGAGGUUGUUCGAUGUUUCUAGAUAGCGUGAGUUAAAGGUGGAGAAGAUGGGUUAUUUGGUGGGGGACUAGGAUAUUUGGGCUCUCACGUGGAGGCGGGUUCUUUAUGUUUGGGAAUUACAGAGAUGCAAGACCUCUAGAAUAGGGUUUAUAUUACUUUAGUGGAUGAUACUUGGGGUUGGGAUUUUGACCAGAGUAGGGUCUACUCAAAUUUGAAACGAUUGGGACCCAUCUAAGGUUAUCAUAUUUCCCUGGAAUUUGCUCCUCAAUGGGGUCCCAAUCCAUCAUAAUAUUUUUGUAAGAGAGUCUAUUAAACUAAUAACCCAGGUGGGAUCAAAUGAUCCUUCCAGUUGUCAUAAUAACCCAACAGGUCUAAAGGAUCAACUGACUCUUUUAUGAAUGAUUUGUGAAUACAUAUUGUAUCCUUAUAUAAGGAUUUCUCUCUACUUUUUUUUUUCUCUUGUAUAUGAGUUUUGAGUAUCCUUGUAUAAAUUUUUAAUAUAUGACCUCUUUUUAUUGUUCAAAAAAAAAUAUCUGAAUUUUUUUGUUAGCAUUGCAUUUUUGUUAACACUCGAUUUUUUUGUGGUGAAACUCGUGUGGGUGUCACAAUUUAAAAAUGGAUCCAUAUAAAGUGAUAAGAAGCACAUGAGUUUUAUCCAAUUAAAAAUAAAUGUUAGAGAAAAAAAAAGCGUUCCUAACAUUUUUCUUAUAACAUUUAAAAGUUUAUUUGAAAUGCAUCUCAUGACAUACACGCUUAUAUUGAUCUUUUUUACACUUCUGCAACAAAAAAAAAAAAAAACUUACGACUUGAACAUAUAAUUUGUAUUUUUAACUUACUCUAAUAAUCUUUUUAGAAUAAAUUGAUAAUAAUCGCCAGCUCUAUUAAACUAUUGAUGAUGCUAGGUUAUUGAAACAAAUUAGGGUUGUCUAGCUCAACUAUUUAAGGGUUGAAGAUAUGGCCAAAUUUGAAAGUAUAAUUUAAUAAAUAAAAAUAAUUGUCUUACAAAAAAAGAAAAAAAAUAGUUUUUCAAAUGAACAACAUAAACAAGAAAUUAUAAGAUAUAUCUAAAAUUUAUAUUAUCAAACAAAUAUAAAAUGAACUAACAUUUACCUCUGAAGUUGUGCUUGUCAUCGUUUCAUAGAGUUAAAAUCAUCAAUUAUAUAUAAUAUGAGGUAAAUCUUUUAGUAAUUUUACCUUAAAUAUAAACAAUUAUGUAAUUUAUGAUAAAAUCAUCUUCCAUCUUAUUGUUAUUGUAGCAUUGUUUUCAUAAUUUUCAUUCUUGAAAAUGUACAUUAUAUGGUUUUUGUUGACAAAAAAGAGUCAACACAAGUCGUAACACUCUAAUUUGAUUUACCCGUCUCAACUAAUUUUUUAUAUAAUUCACAAAUAGCAGACAACAUCUAAAAAUUGACAUCCGUAAGUACAUCAAAUUUAAAGUCUUACAAUUUAUAUUUCAAUCGAGUCUUUUUUUUAGUAGAAAAUUUUGAAGUGUAAAUUUUUUCAGCAAGGUGCGUACCUUUUUUAUAUUUUAUUAAAUGAUUUUUAAUAGUGAAAACUUAAGUAUUAAGGCUGAAUAUAUUGAGUAAAAAAAAGAGCCUAUUAUACAAUAUCAUAUGAAGUUUACAAUAAGAUAUAAAGACAAAAAAAAAUAACAAACCAAUGUAAAUAGAAAAUAAAAUUAAUUUGGGAUGACCAUGACCUAUGCUGGUCAUUCUUCUAACUUCGCCUAUAGCCAAAGGAGUUGGAGAACUUUUAUUGAUAAAAAAGAUAAUAUUAGUAACAACUAAUUAUUAACAUUGUUUUAUUCUUACCUUGGUUUUCCUCCAUAUUUUCAAAAUUCUGGUAUUGCAACUUAAUGCAACUUAAAAAAGAAAACUAGCACUCCCUAUCAAAGCUUUUUUAAAUUUCUUCACAAAAGGAAUUGAUACACAUGCAUAAACAGUCUAGCAGUUUCAAAGAGUCAAAAAUAAUUGAGCACAGUGAAAUUCAAUUAUCACUUUAAAUUGAAGAAAACUGAUUAAUUUGGCAUUAAUCUGUUUCGAGCAAGCUCUUAGCUAGGUAACUGUCCUUGAUCAUGACAUAUAAUAUAAAAAAAAAAACACAUGGUUAAUGAACAUUUACAAACAAUUCGGAAUGUUGCUGCUGGUUGCAACAAUUAAAUCAAAGGUUUUUCAUUUCAAUGACAGGGAAAUCUAUGGGACUAAUGUAUAAUUUUGAUAGUUUCGUUUUUGUGAGUAUGAAACUAUGAAGCACGGAUACAGACAUAGAUACAGAUACUAUUGACACGUCGACACUGUUAAUAAUUUGAGAUAAUCUCAUAAUUUAAUGUAAUUAUAUGUGUUGAUGUCAGACACGACACAUGUUCGACACCAAAAUACGUUUAAUCUAAGAAGUGUCCUUGCUUUAUAGAUAUUGGAAUCAUAGCAAGUGGGGUUAGUAGGAAUUGGUGUUUUGUCUUAGCUAGGCCGUUUUCUUAUGCGGCUCUCCCAAUGCCUAAUUUUACUGGUCGUGACUUAGAAAAUGUGGCAACUAGCUACAAAAAUCACUACUAAUUUGUUUCUAUGUUUUCAAUAAUAAGACAAAAUCAAAACCAUAAAAUAUUAGUAGCUGUCCAAACGUUCCCAUCUUCCAAUUUUUGAAUGACUAUAUUGUAAAACAAUAGGAAUUGGGGAUGCCUAGCCUAGUAAUCUCCUGUUUUUCUCAUAUCUUCCUUUUAACUGAAAUUCAAAGUUUGAUUUACUACAUUGCAAAAGACUGGUUCCUUUUGUUAGAUUCAAUUUUUUGUGCAUUUUUCAGUUUUUUUAGUAGAUAGACGAGAUGACAAAGUCAUUGUAAAUUCACACACUCAUAAGUGAAGGUGUUAGAGUUCGAAGUUCGAACUCUAAUCAUCACGUUCGGCCUAAUAAUUUUAACAUUUUUACUGGUUGAGUUAAAAGACAAAUAUUUGGUCAAAUUCUACUUAGAUUCAAUCUUUGUUGGCAUCUUCAAUUUUUUCUUGUUGGUAGAUAGACGAUAUGUCAAAAUCAUUAUAAAUUCACACACUCAUUAGUGAAGGUGUUAGAGUUCGAAGUUCAAACCCUGAUCAUCGCGUUCGGUCUAAUAAUUUUGACAUUUUUACCGGUUAAGCUAAAAGGAAAAUGUUUUAGUCAAAUUUCACUUAAAGACAAAUCAUUUAAGAGAAACCAAAUUUAAAUCAUAACUGAAACAAUCUUUAGUCAAGUUCCAGUUACUUAUGGGUUAAACUUCAUAUGAUCGGAGCACCAUUUUCUUAGAAACCUGAGGGUAAAAACCAAUCAACAUUAAUGACAAGAAAAUUUUAAGAGUCUUAUCAUAAGAAUAUGAUGAGAUGUACAUAAACAAAUGGAGUGCUGCUGCUUUAGAAAUGAAAUUAUGCAGCCACUAUAAGAGCACAAAUGUUGUUAGUGCUACAUGUAGUGCUUAUAUGGCAGCAUUGCCUAAACAUAGUCAGCUAAAUUCCGAAACAAAUAUUUGCGAUAAAAUCCCAUGUUUUUUGGGGAAUCAAACAUGGGUAACAUUAACCAAUCAUCAACUACUCCACUAUACCAAUCAAUGUGUACUUUAAUAAUUAUGUGUAUUUCUAACAAACAUUUCACAGACAGACAGGCACAACUCAUUAAGCACUAACAAGCAAAAUUAAUGACGAAUUAGGAGCUUAAUUUAGUGCUAAUUUUUAGGAACUUGCUUAUUGUACCGUUAUGUUCUAACCAAGAGUUAUUCUUGGGGUUUGAAAUAAUGCCAAUGGAAGAGAUUAUUAAUUUUUGUUUGUUUUUCCUUUUACCCUUACCUUCGGUAUAUGGUUUUGGCAAAACCCUAUUCACGUGAUCUUUAGCCUUGGCAUAGAAUAUGACAGUGUGUGUAUGGCUGUCACUUUUGGCAAAAUAAUUUCACCAAGAAAAAAUGAGUAAAAGAAGUUCAUAUCAUUGUUGAGAUAAUUUAGUGUAUAAUUAGAUUGACAUUGAAUUUGACGUAAUUUCAACAUGUGAUAGGAUCGUAAUUUUGUGAAAUUCGCCGUGAUUCUAAGACACACGGUAAAUUGAUCUUGAAAACUAAGCUCUAAAUAGGUGAGGCUUAGGGGUGAGUAAAAAAAAAACUGAACUGAACUGCUGUAUUAAACCAAAAAAAAAAAAAUAUAUAUCGAACCAUUACUAACAAUUCUGAAACUGAACUGAAACAAUUCGGUAAUUAAAAUUCAAUUUCGUUUGUUUUUUUUGUUUUAUUUUUAAUUUUUUUUCAACGAUAUCCAUAAUAACAUUUUGGUUCUGUUCAGAACAAUUCAGUUCGGUUUGAAACAAUAUAGUUUAGAUCAAAAUGCAAACAAUUCAGUUCAGUUAUUUUAAAUUUAGCAAACAGUUCACCUUACUUCGGUUCUUCAUCUCGAACCGAACCAUGCCCACCCUAUUGAGGCUAAUAUUUAGAUAUUAUUAUUCAAAUACAAUUUGCCAAUUUGGAACCGCAUAGCUUAGCUUAGCAAUGUAUUAGGUAUGAUAAGAAUCAUAAUGACCAGCAAAAAUCUAAAAUACUUUGGUGCUAGACUGCGAUCUAUUAUUAUAAUGAUUUGAUAUUUUUGUUCAUAAUCAAUUGUACAAAUUUUUUAUGGAAGAAAUAACACAGUUCUCUCUUUGUCAAGCAUAUGUGUAUUUACCUUUUAAUUUUCAAAUUUUUACAACUUAAACUGUAAAACCAUUCAAUUAAUUAGUAUGUUGAAUUUUCUUAUCACUAAAUUUGACAUUUCUUUUGGCACACGGAGAAAAAAUAUUAAGUAUUUUACCCCAAAAGGUAAAUCUAUAGCCAUCAUUUGUGUUGUACCCAUUGACAUAAUUCAAAAGUUUGGACCAUCAAUUGUUUAUCUAUUCAAGUCAUCUCCAUAGGAAUGAUCUUAUGACAAGAACAUAAUGCUAAUUUGUCAUGACAUUGGAAAGAAAGACACACACUUUUAUAGUCUCCGACCAAAAGUCCAUGUGGGUAUUGUUUGGGAUUUAAACUCUCCCCAUUACAUGUAAAAUUUGUCCCUCCAUGGUCACAAUUCACUUCCACCACGAAUCUAUUUCCAAACAUUAGUCAUGCUAUGAAUACACUCUUUAUCCCACAUAUUUUUAUGGAAUGUUUUUCAACAUACCAUCUUUUAUUAAUAGAAACGAAAUUCAUGAGAUCGACAAAUUUUAGCGUGACAUUUUUGAAUUUCAACCAAUGUAUUGUGAAUUAGGAUAAAUAAAUCACACCAAUAAAACUUAGAUGUGUGGAGCAAAGGAAAGUAAUAACCAAUAUUAAAGUAACAUCAAACAACAGCAACAAUAACAACAACAAUAAUCUAGGAAUCAAGUGAAAAACAUUAAACCACAAUCAAAAGAUAAAGAGAGAAGAGAAACAAACACACCAAAAAAUGUUUACCUAGCUCUCUCCAAAUUGACCUACUGUAGGGAGAGAUUGAUCUUUCAAAUCUACUAUAUCAAUGAGUUCUUUACAAAGAGAUAUACAAGGGUUACAAGAAACUAGCUUCAACAAGCUCACAAAGAACAAACCCUAAUUUCUAUCAUGUUCCCAAUCUCAUCAAUGGGCAAGACACUCAAUGAUUUUCACUCACCCGAAGUGUUUAAAAAUGUUUCCCAACUCAAGAGAACCCUAAUCAAAGACCAUCAACCCUAAAGUUACCUCCUUUUGUUGUGUAUGUCUUCAAAUUGCAAAGUUGGGAAGCAGAGAAAUCGUGACACGAUUUGGAAAGCGUGUCACGAUUUUGGUAAUGUCGAGAGCUGUUUUCAGGGCGUCCAAUCGUGACACAAUUUUUGGCUUGUUGGGCAAGAUUUUCAGGAUAAGGUUGGUCGUACGCAUCAAUCGUGACACGAUUUGGGAAAAACGUGACACGAUUUCGACGCUGAAGUCUGCUAUAUAAGUGUUCUUUGCAGUUUUUGAAGAGAGAGCUAGAAGAGAGAGAAACUUGGGAAAUCAAAGGAGGUAACUUUAGGGUUGAGGGUCUUUGAUUAGAGUUCUCUUGGGUUGGGAAACAUUGUAAACACCUUGGGUGAGUGAAAAUCAUUGAGUGUCUUGUUCAUUGGUGAGAUUGGGAAAAAAAGGUAGAAAUUAGGGUUGUUCUUUGUGAACUUGUUGAAGCUAAUUUCUUGUAACCCUUUUGUAUCUCUUCAUAAGAACUCAUUGAUAGUGGAUUGGAGAGAUCAAUCUCUCCUCCAGAGUAGGUCAAGUUUGGACCAAACUGGGUGAACAAUCUUUGGUGUGUUUGUUUCUCUCUUCUCUCCUUUUAUCUUUUGCUUGUGAUUUUGUGCUUUUUUUUCACUUUGAUUCCUAGAUUAGAUCUAGGUGUUGUUAUUGUUGAUUAUUGCUUGUGUUCACUUUGAUAUUGGUUACUACUUUCCUUUGCUCCACACAUCAUAGUUUGUAUUGGUGUGAUUUUGAGUCCGGAAUUCACAACACCUUUGAUUUCCCAAGUUUCUCACUCUUGAAGUCUCCUUUGAUUUCCCAAUAUUCUCUCUCUUAAGCCUCAUUCAAAACAUGAAGAAUGAAGCCUUUUACAGAGUUCAUAUCCCGAGAAAUCGUGCCCCAAUUUCAACUCGUACACUAUACUAUUCGAACCUUAUCUGUCAAAGUCGGACCCUAAUUUCGCCAAAUUGUGUCGCGAUUUUUGAUGGACUAAAAUUUCCAAAACUGACCCAAAAUCGUGCCCCCGUGACUCCAAAUCGUACCAGAAUUUUUGCCCAACCUUCAUUCAUCAAUUUUGAGACAAUUCUCAACACAAUGAAAUAGAAAAUAAAAAAUAAAUGUGUGUAAGAAAGUGUGUUGGUAACAUUUUCCAACUAAACAUUAUUCGUUGAAGGUUCAUAUAGUAUUGUGCUUAUUACAUCGUUAUACCCAAAAUGCAUUUUAAUUAGUGCCCUCCCCAUAUCCCCAAUUCAUUGUCUAAAAAAAACAUCAUAUCGUUUUUCUUUCACAUUGUUUCCCUUCGUUUUAAAAAAUUAUAAAAACCAAUGUUUACACUUAUUACAUGCUGUUACUGAGGAUAAAUAGUAACUCACUAAUAAAGCAAAAGAAGCACAAAAAGGCUAACAUAGUACACCAAACUUGUGAUAGAGAACAUAAACCUCGUAACAAGAAAUCCACAACUGGAACAACAAUAUUUUAAUCCAUAAUGGCCUCAAUGAAAUCAGCACCGACCAACUGAAGUAGGACACUGCAUGCAUAUGUAUAAUUAAGCCUAAUAGUAAUUACUACUGCAUAAUAACAUAGAAGAGAAGAAAUGCCAAAAUAAAAAAACGAAUGAAAGAAAAGAAAUGUCUCACUCUCACGUGCCAUGAAAAGAAUAGUAGUUGUAUGAUAUUAGCAAAAGGACCUCACGUGGAAGGGGAUCCAAGAACCUAAAUCAUAAAUUUAACUCUCACCAAUGACCAUUUUCCUCAUAUAUAUAUAUAUAUACAUACAUACACACACGUAGCAUAUAAAGUUAAUUUAGUGUGAUUGGUGUGUGACGGUCAAAGGUCAAAAGAAAGAUUAAUAUGAUGAGAUUAAAAGGACAAAGUGUGAGUCAGCGGGUGAGCCGCACGAGGGGAUCUAUCUGCAGAAGCCUCUGCAAUUC